rnacentral:rRNA from 1 species
UAGCACAGAAGGAGCUUGCUCCUUGGGUGACGAGUGGCGGACGGGUGAGUAAUGUCUGGGGAUCUGCCCGAUAGAGGGGGAUAACCACUGGAAACGGUGGCUAAUACCGCAUAACGUCGCAAGACCAAAGAGGGGGACCUUCGGGCCUCUCACUAUCGGAUGAACCCAGAUGGGAUUAGCUAGUAGGCGGGGUAAUGGCCCACCUAGGCGACGAUCCCUAGCUGGUCUGAGAGGAUGACCAGCCACACUGGAACUGAGACACGGUCCAGACUCCUACGGGAGGCAGCAGUGGGGAAUAUUGCACAAUGGGCGCAAGCCUGAUGCAGCCAUGCCGCGUGUAUGAAGAAGGCCUUCGGGUUGUAAAGUACUUUCAGCGGGGAGGAAGGCGAUGUGGUUAAUAACCGCGUCGAUUGACGUUACCCGCAGAAGAAGCACCGGCUAACUCCGUGCCAGCAGCCGCGGUAAUACGGAGGGUGCAAGCGUUAAUCGGAAUUACUGGGCGUAAAGCGCACGCAGGCGGUCUGUUAAGUCAGAUGUGAAAUCCCCGGGCUUAACCUGGGAACUGCAUUUGAAACUGGCAGGCUUGAGUCUUGUAGAGGGGGGUAGAAUUCCAGGUGUAGCGGUGAAAUGCGUAGAGAUCUGGAGGAAUACCGGUGGCGAAGGCGG